UUAAACACAGCUGGACUCCAAUGAAGGAGUAGAACCAUCUCAAGGAGGAUCAGAAGAAAUGGACAGCAUAUGGUUUUCCUCACCUCUGUCUGAACUCCUGGAACACGAUGCGGUUGGGGAAUCCCUGCCUGCAGAUCCGGAUGCCCUCCAGCACGCCGUUACACCUGAGCUGCUCCAGAACCAGGUUGGAGUCCAUCUUCCCAGCCUGCAGCACAGCACACUCAGUCAUUGCGGACGAAGUUGGGCUGCGUGUUGUGCAGCGUGGUCAUCAGCUUCCCCAGAGACUCCUUGUACAGCUGACCGA